GUGGGGAAUCUUGCGCAAUGGGGGAAACCCUGACGCAGCAACGCCGCGUGGGUGAUGAAGGCCUUCGGGUCGUAAAGCCCUGUCAGGUGGGAAGAAACAUGUCGAUGCGAAUAGCAUCGACAUUUGACGGUACUACCGAAGGAAGCACCGGCUAACUCCGUGCCAGCAGCCGCGGUAAUACGGAGGGUGCAAGCGUUGUUCGGAAUUAUUGGGCGUAAAGCGAGUGCAGGCGGUUGGGUAAGUCAGAUGUGAAAGCCUUCCGCUUAACGGAAGAAGUGCAUUUGAAACUGCUCAGCUAGAGUACGGGAGAGGAGAGUGGAAUUCCCGGUGUAGAGGUGAAAUUCGUAGAUAUCGGGAGGAACACCAGUGGCGAAGGCGGCUCUCUGGUCCGAUACUGACGCUGAGACUCGAAAGCGUGGGGAGCAAACAGGAUUAGAUACCCCGGUAGUCC
rnacentral:rRNA from 1 species